rnacentral:tRNA from 1 species
GGGCUCGAAGCUCAACCUGGUCGAGCUGCGGAUUUUUAACCCGCUGGUUGUGGGUUCGAAUCCCACCGGGCCCU